rnacentral:lncRNA from 1 species
AUGUCAGGUUUUGCCUGUAGUUCCAGGGUUCAACACAUCACAACCCAUUGCAAUGAGUUUAAGAAGUUUCCGUUUCUCCCAUCUUCAUCUGUCAGUGACCUCUCACUCGAAUUCUGGCUCCACAGUCAUGGCAGUGAAUGGGAUCAGGGAACUCACAUAGGUUUUAAACAAGACGCUCUUGCCAAGAGACUUCCUCUGCCUGUUCUCUCUGAUGGUCCAUGUUCCCCCAGUUUCCUGUUUUACUGCUGCUCCAGUUUCCAAUGCUUGAACAUCUUCAGGUCAGAGAAGGGUACAGUGUGCUGCUCCACUGCUCCAGCACAGGUGAGUGUUUCAAAGUAACUGGGACAGAUGGACAGUUUUCUCUUCCUGUAUUUUAACUGGUGUACUUGAUUCUCUACUGUGCUUAAAAGGGCUCUACAACAAGAUGCAGACAGAUAAUGCCAUUAAAAGAGAAGUCAGAUACCAUCAUAUUAAGAUGUUUCUUAAUGUAAGACAGCAUAAGAGGUCUGCAUCCUCUUCAUUCUUACUUUGAAAAGAACAAAUGCAAUGUUUUGGUGUUGUGGUUUUUUUAAAACUUUGUUACUUAAACUUUAGAAAUAAUUGUUACCCCCAAAAAGGCAGAGAAUUAAUGUGUAACAUUUACCCACUGAGUUUCGUUGACAUUAUUUAUUUAUUUAUUUAUUUAAUUUUGUAACGUAGUGAAGAGGAGCGCAUGGACAUUGGUUAGUGCACUCAGAGGCGUUUUAACCUCCGAGGUGAAGGUUCACAAUUUGGUUAGGUCCCAAAUGGCUGGCUUGGAUGACUCUGGCACUUCCUAACUGAAGUGUUAGGUAGCAUAAUGAAAUUUCAAGGUGAAGAAAAACACAAAUAGCUUCUGCAGUUGUGAAAGAAGUAAAAUCCUGACAGAGAGCUAGGUCUCAACCCUACAUUUACAAUACAAUUAUGUGGUCCAUUAGUCAAGCAAAUGGCCCACUCAGGUACCGUUGCAUAACAACUACUGGACUGGUUCCCUGUGGCAGUUUCUGUUUACCACACACCAUCAUAACAUCACGGAGAUUUAUUUUAUUUUAUUUUAUUUCAGUGAAAGAAGCAAGCUUGUUACCAGCAUAACAAAAGAGAAAAGAUACCUAAACUGAGAGCAAAGAGAACAAUACGCUCUGAGCUGGACACGCGUUGCAAAUGGUGUACAAGAAACGGAGGUUUGCCCACAUUUUGCUUAGUAAUAAACAAUUAAAUACAAUAGCA